rnacentral:tRNA from 1 species
GCGGAAGUAGCUUAAUGGUUAAAGCGCCGCCUUGCCAAGGCUGAGAUUGAGGGUUCGAGUCCCUUUUUCCGCU